AAUGGGUUCAUUCAAAUUUCUGACCCUAUCAACUUUCGAUGGUAGGAUAGUGGCCUACCAUGGUUUUAACGGGUAACGGGGAAUUAGGGUUCUAUUCCGGAGAGGGAGCCUGAGAAACGGCUACCACAUCCAAGGAAGGCAGCAGGCGCGCAAAUUACCCAAUCCCGACACGGGGAGGUAGUGACAAUAAAUACUGAUGCAGAGCUCUUUAGGGUUUUGCAAUUGGAAUGAGUACAAUUUAAAUCCCUUAACGAGGAACAAUUGGAGAGCAAGUCUGGUGCCAGCAGCCGCGGUAAUUCCAGCUCCAAUAGCGUAUAUUAAAGUUGUUGCAGUUAAAAAGCUCGUAGUUGAACCUUGGGCCUGGCUGGCCGGUCCGCCUCACCGCGUGCACUGGUCCGGCCGGGCCUUUCCUUCUGGGGAGCCACAUGCCCUUCACUGGGUGUGUCGGGGAACCAGGACUUUUACUUUGAAAAAAUUAGAGUGUUCAAAGCAGGCCUAUGCUCGAAUACAUUAGCAUGGAAUAAUAGAA
rnacentral:rRNA from 1 species